GGGACCUCGAGUGCCAGGUUACAAAUCUGGCUGUCGUGAUGCCUAAAAAGCAUUGCAUAGCAAGGGCCGGGCAAGACCGGUGCCAGCCGCCGCGGUAACACCGGCGGCUCGAGUGGUAACCGUUAUUAUUGGGUCUAAAGGGUCUGUAGCCGGCCGGAUAAGUCUCUUGGGAAAUCUGGCAGCUUAACUGUCAGGCUUUCAGGAGAUACUGUCUGGCUCGAGGCCGGGAGAGGUGAGAGGUACUUCAGGGGUAGGGGUGAAAUCUUGUAAUCCUUGAAGGACCACCAGUGGCGAAGGCGUCUCACCAGAACGGACCUGACGGCAAGGGACGAAAGCUAGGGGCACGAACCGGAUUAGAUACCCGGGUAGUCCUAGCCGUAAACGAUACUCGCUAGGUGUCGGCCACGGUGCGACCGUUGUCGGUGCCGUAGGGAAGCCGUGAAGCGAGCCACCUGGGAAGUACGGCCGCAAGGCUGAAACUUAAAGGAAUUGGCGGGGGAGCACCACAACGGGUGGAGCUUGCGGUUUAAUUGGAUUCAACGCCGGAAAUCUUACCGGGACCGACAGCAAUAUGAAGGCCAGGCUGAAGACUUUGCCGGAUUAGCUGAGAGGUGGUGCAUGGCCGUCGUCAGUUCGUACUGUGAAGCAUCCUGUUAAGUCAGGCAACGAGCGAGACCCACGCCCACAGUUGCCAGCGUACUCUCCGGAGUGACGGGUACACUGUGGGGACCGCCGCUGCUAAAGCGGAGGAAGGAAUGGGCAACGGUAGGUCAGUAUGCCCCGAAUAUCCCGGGCUACACGCGAGCUACAAUGGUUGGUACAAUGGGUAUCUACCCCGAAAGGGGAUGGAAAUCUCCUAAAGCCAAUCUUAGUCCGGAUUGAGGGCUGCAACUCGCCCUCAUGAAGCUGGAAUCCGUAGUAAUCGCGUUUCAACAGAACGCGGUGAAUACGUCCCUG
rnacentral:rRNA from 1 species